GCCGGGGUGGUGGAAUAGGUAGACACAAGGGACUUAAAAUCCCUCGAUCUCAUAAGGUCGUGCCGGUUCGAUUCCGGCCCUCGGCA
rnacentral:tRNA from 1 species